AAUCUUCCCCUACCAUCUCUAAAUCCUACUAAUCCUAGUUAAUUCCUGCUCAGUUUAAAUACUUCUGCCCUCUAAGAAGCCUUCUGAUUUCACUACUUCAUGGUUUAGAAAACCUGGUCUGUGGCAAAAUGAGAAAAAUAAGGCUGAGCUCCAAGAAGGCUGGGCCACCCCGGCCUGGCCUGGAGCCAAACCCAGCACAGGUGCUCAGAAGAUGCUGAUUGAAUGAAUGCACUGUGAUUUGUGAUUGAGGCACACUCAACCGCGAUGAACCUCUGAACCUCGCAAAACAAAACCGUGAGCAAGCUGACGCAACGGAGCCGUGCAAGGGAAGACCCCAGCGCUCAGAGCCCGGAGUCCGGAUUCCAAUCCUGCCGCCUCUGAGAGGCAGCGUGGUACACGGAGGUCAGAAGCGUCCCCCUCCCCCUCUCCCCAACCCACUAGCAUCAAGGCUUAGGAAAAAUCACUUUCUCUGAGCCUCAGCUUCCUCACCUGUGGUAGGGGGAUGACAACAUCCAGGAUUCUUCCGAAGAGUAAAAGAAAUGUGCGCAGAAAACCACUUUGUAGGCAGUAUGUAAAUGAGAGUUCUCCAUAGCCAUCCCUCCAGCAGCCGGCGCACUGCCCAGCUGGCCCCUUCGUCCCAGGUUCUGCUUCCGCUUUUGCCAUGAGCCCGCGAGCUGGUUGCCUUGCAAGUUCUGUACCGAAGAGCUCGGCGCCUGGCGCCCGGUGGGUGCUCAAUAAAUCAAUCAAUGAACAAUGACCCCAGGCAGGUCACUCCCUCUUCCGGACGGGUUUCCUCUCGGUAAAUGGGUGAUCUCCCGGGCUCCACCCUCCUAUCGUACUUGAGUAUUCGCUUUUUAAGGACAGGACUGGGAAUCACAUUUAAGUCAGUGGGUGGGUGUGAAGAGACUCUGAUUAAAAGGUUAGUGCUCA